UACGUAGGCAGCAAGCGUUGUUCGGAAUUACUGGGCGUGAAGAGUGUGUAGGCGGUGCUCUAAGUCUGUCGUGAAAUCUCCCGGCUUAACUGGGAGGGUGCGGCGGAUACUAUUGUGCUAGAGGGUGGGAGAGGUAAGCGGAAUUCCUGGUGUAGCGGUGAAAUGCGUAGAUAUCAGGAGGAACACCUGCGGUGUAGACAGCUUACUGGACCACUUCUGACGCUGAGACACGAAAGCGUGGGUAGCAAACAGG
rnacentral:rRNA from 1 species